UACGGAGGGUGCGAGCGUUAAUCGGAGUUACUGGGCGUAAAGGGUGCGUAGGUGGUUGAUUAAGUUAUCUGUGAAAUCCCUGGGCUUAACCUGGGCAGGUCAGAUGAUACUGAUUGACUCGAGUAUGGGAGAGGGUAGUGGAAUUUCCGGUGUAGCGGUGAAAUGCGUAGAGAUCGGAAGGAACACCAGUGGCGAAGGCGGCUACCUGGCCUAAUACUGACACUGAGGCACGAAAGCGUGGGGAGCAAACAGG
rnacentral:rRNA from 1 species